GACUAAGUGACUGCGUGUACGGAAUUUGUACAUGAGGAAAGUCCGAGCUCCACAGAGCAGGUUAACGGUUAACAACCGCCGAGGGCAACCUUAGGGAAAGUGCAACAGAAAUAUACCGCCCAAUUUAUUUUUGGGUAAGGAUGGAAAGGCGAGGUAAGAGCUCACCGGCACACAAGAGAUUGUGUGGCCCUGCAAACCCUAACCGGAGCAACACCCAUUUUGGUAAAAAUUAUGCGUUUGCUCGACGCUUGAUAAAGGGUGGCAACGAGCUACUGCGGCAACGCUUAGCCCAGAUAGAUAGUCACUCACGACAGAAUUCGGCUUAUCGGUUUACU
rnacentral:RNase_P_RNA from 1 species